GAUGAAGAACGCAGCGAAAUGCGAUAAGUAAUGUGAAUUGCAGAAUUCAGUGAAUCAUCGAAUCUUUGAACGCACAUUGCGCCCGCCAGUAUUCUGGCGGGCAUGCCUGUCUGAGCGUCAUUUCAACCCUCAUGCCCCUAGGGCGUGGUGUUGGGGAUCGGCCAAAGCCCGCGAGGGACGGCCGGCCCCUAAAUCUAGUGGCGGUCCCGCUGCAGCCUCCUCUGCGUAGUAGUUUUCUCCUCGCAAGGGCAGCUCGGUGGCGACCUCGCCGUAAAACCCCCAACUUCUGAAAGGUUGACCUCGAAUCAGGUAGGAAUACCCGCUGAACUUAAGCAUAUCAAUAAGCGGAGGA
rnacentral:misc_RNA from 1 species